GAACGCUGGCGGCGUGCUUAACACAUGCAAGUCGAACGGAAAGGCCCUGCUUUUGUGGGGUGCUCGAGUGGCGAACGGGUGAGUAACACGUGAGUAACCUGCCCUUGACUUUGGGAUAACUUCAGGAAACUGGGGCUAAUACCGGAUAGGAGCUCCUGCUGCAUGGGGGGGGUUGGAAAGUUUCGGCGGGUGGGGAUGGACUCGCGGCUUAUCAGCUUGUUGGUGGGGUAGUGGCUUACCAAGGCUUUGACGGGUAGCCGGCCUGAGAGGGUGACCGGCCACAUUGGGACUGAGAUACGGCCCAGACUCCUACGGGAGGCAGCAGUGGGGAAUAUUGCACAAUGGGCGGAAGCCUGAUGCAGCAACGCCGCGUGCGGGAUGACGGCCUUCGGGUUGUAAACCGCUUUCGCCUGUGACGAAGCGUGAGUGACGGUAAUGGGUAAAGAAGCACCGGCUAACUACGUG
rnacentral:rRNA from 1 species